rnacentral:misc_RNA from 1 species
UACGGAGGGUGCAAGCGUUAAUCGGAAUCAUUGGGUUUAAAGGGUCCGUAGGCGGGUGCGUAAGUCAGUGGCGAAAGUCUGCAGCUCAACUGUAGAAUUGCCAUUGAUGCUGUUAACCUUGAGUAAUUAUGAAGUGGUUAGAAUAUGUAGUGUAGCGGUGAAAUGCAUAGAUAUUACAUAGAAUACCGAUUGCGAAGGCAGAUCACUAAUAAUUUACUGACGCUGAUGGACGAAAGCGUAGGUAGCGAUCAGG